UACGUAGGAGGCGAGCGUUGUCCGGAGUUACUGGGCGUAAAGGGCUCGUAGGCGGCCAACUAAGUCGGACGUGAAAUCCCUCAGCUUAACUGGGGAACUGCGUCCGAUACUGGAUGGCUUGGAUUUGGGAGAGGGAUGCGGAAUUCCAGGUGUAGCGGUGAAAUGCGUAGAUAUCUGGAGGAACACCGGUGGCGAAGGCGGCAUCCUGGACCAAUAUUGACGCUGAGGAGCGAAAGCCAGGGGAGCAAACGGG
rnacentral:rRNA from 1 species